rnacentral:tRNA from 1 species
GAGGGUAUAGCUCAGUGGUAGAGCGCAUGCCUCACACACAUGAAGUCCUGAGUUCAAUCCCCAGUGCCUCCA